CAUGUCUAGUAUAGCAUCUAUACUGUGAAACUGCGAAUGGCUCAUUAAAUCAGUUAUCGUUUAUUUGAUAGUACCUUACUACUUGGAUAACCGUGGUAAUUCUAGAGCUAAUACAUGCUAAAAACCCCGACUUCGGGAGGGGUGUAUUUAUUAGAUAAAAAACCAAUGCCCUUCGGGGCUCCUUGGUGAUUCAUGAUAACUUAACGAAUCGCAUGGCCUUGCGCCGGCGAUGGUUCAUUCAAAUUUCUGCCCUAUCAACUUUCGAUGGUAGGAUAGUGGCCUACCAUGGUAUCAACGGGUAACGGGGAAUUAGGGUUCUAUUCCGGAGAGGGAGCCUGAGAAACGGCUACCACAUCCAAGGAAGGCAGCAGGCGCGCAAAUUACCCAAUCCCGACGCGGGGAGGUAGUGACAAUAAAUACUGAUACAGGGCUCUUUUGGGUCUUGUAAUUGGAAUGAGUACAAUUUAAAUACCUUAACGAGGAACAAUUGGAGGGCAAGUCUGGUGCCAGCAGCCGCGGUAAUUCCAGCUCCAAUAGCGUAUAUUAAAGUUGUUGCAGUUAAAAAGCUCGUAGUUGAACCUUGGGCCUGGCUGGCCGGUCCGCCUCACCGCGUGUACUGGUCCGGCCGGGCCUUUCCUUCUGGGGAUCCGCAUGCCCUUCACUGGGCGUGCCGGGGAACCAGGACUUUUACUUUGAAAAAAUUAGAGUGUUCAAAGCAGGCCUUUGCUCGGAUACAUUAGCAUGGAAUAAUAGAAUAGGACGUGCGGUCCUAUUUUGUUGGUUUCUAGGACCGCCGUAAUGAUUAAUAGGGAUAGUCGGGGGCAUCAGUAUUCAAUUGUCAGAGGUGAAAUUCUUGGAUUUAUUGAAGACUAACUACUGCGAAAGCAUUUGCCAAGGAUGUUUUCAUUAAUCAGUGAACGAAAGUUAGGGGAUCGAAGACGAUCAGAUACCGUCGUAGUCUUAACCGUAAACUAUGCCGACUAGGGAUCGGGCGAUGUUAUUCUUUUGACUCGCUCGGCACCUUACGAGAAAUCAAAGUC
rnacentral:rRNA from 1 species